ACGCAUGAUGCGAUUUUGCAGUUUCCUGUCAGCCUGACGCCGACAGCGCGUGACGACACAACUUUCAACUCAGCUCACACUGAAAC
rnacentral:snoRNA from 1 species